GAGAAGGAAAAAAAAAAGAAACCAAAGGAACGAAAACGAAACAGAGGAAGGAGAGGAUGAAAUUGAAGUUUCUGAAACCGGUUUGAGGUUGGGAACCUGAUUUUGGACGAUCGGAAAUUGGAGCAGCGUACCAACCAAAUUCACCUCGUUCAUAGGAUUUGCUGCACCUGAGUUUCAUAGAGACUUGCCGACCAGUUUCUGCCACUCACUGUCUCAGAAUUUGCAUAUCAUUUUGUAUGUACAUCUGGAAUGACUUAUACUGGAAUAGUUGUACCUUCUGUGAUUGUACAACAUGUUUAGGAGUCGUGGCCGAGUAGUUAUUUUUGAGAUGAUUAUGUUACACUUUAUGUCUUAUAUGUUGAAGAAUAAUCUAAAUUAGUUUUAGAAAUUUAGGAAGAAGUUGACUAUAGACUUGGUAGAUGGUUGAGGGUCUGUAGUCGGCACGAUUUGUCCUAUAGUUAGUAGGUGUUUAAGGCGGGUCGUGUCAAUUUAUUUGUUUUUUUA